GAAGCUUAAUUGUCACUUGAUCGCCUUAACCACGAACUCAAGAAGCCAAUGUGUGUCGCCAGUAUUUCAUUUAACAUUGGUAGUUAAAUGUAGAGACACUGGCGAAUUUUUCUUAUAGUGUCAUCCGCUUAUAAGCAUUAGCGCGAAGAUUAAGCGAGAUCGUAAAAAUCAGUACGUUUACUACGACGAUUGUAAGACUGAGAAAUAGCCUCGAGUUAUGUAUUAUACGGCCAAAUGUGUUUUGACAAGAAUAUUAAAUGACAUUUAUUACAUAUUAGCGUAAACAAUAUGUUCAAAUUUUCAUCGUAAAAAAAGAGUAAAAUACUGAAUUCGAGAUAUUAUAGCAACACGCUAUAUUAUGUAACUGCAAUUUAUCUGCAUUAUCGAUAAUCUCUGGUUUAUUUGGCGAAAAGAAAAGAACUUAAUUAAGACAUAAACCUACAAGGUGACGCGUGUUCGCAUGAAACGUAACACUGUACAGCAAUUUAAUGGUACCGAGCGUGCGAGCCUCUGCUUUCACGAGACGCGAGAACAAGGUGCUGCAAACGU